ACAAGCAUAAAUGUUUUUUAGGUGUAAAUAUUAAGUUUUAUACCAAAUAUUCUUUGUGACAAAAGAUACAUAAAGAACUAGCAACAACUGAAAUUUAAAUCCAAUGCAACAACGGAGAUGAGACAGAAAAAACAACUCCUAAUGAUCUAGCGACACUGACACUUGUUAUAGCAAAGAGCAAGCUGGGUUGAGCACAGUAAUAGCCUGACACAGCGGUUAGCAUUGCCCCAUGAGAAAGAAAUAUCUGAUAAACCAUAAGACCACAUUUUGGUAGAUAUAUAUUGGCUUGCCUGCAACGCUACUCGAAAUGAUUGGACUCAUUCCCACGCAGCUGCGUCAAACCUAGUCACUGGAGUUCAAGUGUCAGUCCCACCACCGGUAGGAAGAAACACAAAGCACCGAGAGCAUCCAAAUGCACUUGCCCUUACAAACCCUUUGUGGCGCCAUCUGGCUAGUCCCAAAAACACCGGGAGUCUUACUUAUUGGACUUUACUUCAGAAGUAAAUGGGAGCCAAGCGGAAAAUCAGGUGCAGCGAAACCAACAUCUUGUCAUAAAUCUUCCUAACAUGUAAAAAAGACCGAAGUUUAGCACAACACAGUGAACUAAAAACCCCGUGAAUGACAAACAAACUUUUUCACUGUUUAGGGCUGGAGCCAUUAUU
rnacentral:lncRNA from 1 species